CUUUUUUGGGUGACUGAAGAGGUUGUAGAGAAAGAGCCUGAUCUUCCUAGUAAUGUGGAUGACUUAUUGCGUGAAAUUGAUGUUGAUUUAUAUCAAAGUGGCGGUGGUAGUAGUGGUCUUUAUGCUGCAUCUCUUUCUUCUGCUGAUCAGGGUGGGAAUGAAGGUGAAGAUCAUCCCACCGAAGCAGAUUUGCAACAAGUUCUUGCGGAUUUUGAUUGAUAAACCAUGAUGUUGGGAUUUAAUAUUUAGAUAUGCUUUUAUUACUAUUUAACUUUUGAGUUUGGAUUUUGAUAAGAUCAUAUGUAUUUGGUUGAUGA